CCACCACAGGUGCCCCCGACAUGAAUGACGUCGAUCUGGCCACACUACCCACGCCCACGCCUACCCCAGCCUCCCGAGGUCAAACAUAACCCUGAUGCAGCCCUCAAUGAAAUUGAGUUUGACACCCCUGUCUUACAUGAUGUCUGGCUUGGAACAAGGUCCUAGUCAAUGUCAUGAUCCAGGACAUGACUUCAACCAAUGAUGAGGCAAUGAGGCUAAAAAGGAGAAAUAAAAAAAUGAAGAUUUUAAGCCUGAGCUUACUGAGUUUUAUCCAAGGUUUUUUUACUUUCAUCUCUUUCUCCAUACAGGGUUGAUUCCUCUUUAAAGGAAGAUCUAGAUGAAGAGAACAAUAAGUAGCAAGUUACUUCUGGAAACUGAAAUGGAAGAGGGAGCUUUGGUGUUGUUAUGCAAGAACCUAACCCUCUCCCUCAGGUGUAGGUUGAUGCCCUUGCGAUAAAUAGAAAGAAGCCAAAGCUGAAGGUGACUGCUAGCCCAACAAAGAAUACAUUCGCUCGUGGCACAGUGGAGAUGGGCUUGGUGGAUGCUGAAAGUUUUUGCUUCCAGAUGAAUAGAGAACAACUGGCAUUCACAAUCUUCAAUGACAGCUGAAUGGCCUUUACAGCUUUUCCAACCAGGUUCCAGCUUUGGAUGCCGUGAGAAUACCAGAAAAUCAGAAGAAACAAGUCUGAAACUGGACUGGCUCAUCACAAGAAAAAUGCAUAAAUACAGACCACUUAUUUCAGUGAGAAAUAACCUUAUAUGGCAAAAGAAAGAGAGAAACAGGUACAAGAUUUUAAUCUGAGACUGCUAUGCACAUGAUAUGGAAUGGAUAUGGAUAUGGAAUCCUAGAAUUUAUAGUCACUGAUUUUCAUUUUAUUAAAGUGUUCUCUACAAUCCAAAAUGAAA